UGAACUAUGUUGGAUGAGCUUUCUUUCCAUGACCCCAUUGAUGUGAUGACUCUUUAAACCUAGGUUGAAUCAAUUGCAAUGAGAUAUAUUCAUGUUUGGGAAUUGCUUUUUGAAUUGAAUCUUGGAGCUUACCAAUGGUGAAAAAUAUACUGAUGACCCUCGAUUGAAGAUGACAAAAAUGAAAUUGUGUGAAUGAACUUAACAUGACUUGAUUUAGCAACAGGUGUUGAUUUGCCCAAAUCA
rnacentral:lncRNA from 1 species